CUUUUACGACGGAGCCUAAGAUAUUCUUUGUCUUGUCGGUGAGUGAGUUACAGUCGGAUGACCAAGUGAAAUAUAGGGGUGCAACGAGGAUUUGGAGGCUUCUGAGACUUGAACUUAGGGUACUGGUGUAAACUUCCUCGGAGAAGUGCGCAGCAGCUAAUGAUAUUUCGGGAUUGGAGUCUGGGCCCCAGUGAGAUUCGUACUAAGCGGCCUGACUGAAGGCCGCAUGCGUUCUAGUUCCUGAGUCCCCGCGUGGGUAGGUUUUUACAGCAGGGUUUGCAGCCUUUUGUGCUGUUCCGAAGGUACUAGAGUCACCGAAAGAGACAUCCUAUUAUAUGCACGUUCACAAGGACAAUGGCGCCAUUGUUCUUCGCGUCUUCAAAGCAGCUACAAGAAGAAACCAAGGGCCAGUGACACAAGAACUUGCGAGAGAUGCCAGUCCGCCUGUGAAGAUCCUGCAGCAGGAGUGCAUAGCCAGUGACACAAGACGUGCGAAUGAAAACUAGAUGUGACCAUCCAGAAAAAGCAUAGACAAAAAAAUGCAGUCUUAGUACUGGGAUGUUUGAGAUGGGGUCUAUCUACAUGUCUCUAGCUGUCCCUAUCAGGACAGCAUCUGGUGUGGCCUGCAGAGUUGAUUCCUGUACUUUUUUUUUUUUGUGGGCUGUAUGUAAAUGGAUUGUUUUGACAAUCCAUUCGACAGUGUUCUCUUCUGUGAAGGUCAUAGGUGAGCUGAUUGACAGACACAGCUGUACAGACUGAAUGCAAUCCUGACUAUAAAGCUGCAGUUCAUCAUUAUGAGCUAUUUCCUUAUUCUGGCAGUGAUUGAAAUAAAAUGGGGAGUAUUGAAAUAAAAAACAUUCAAUUGCAAA
rnacentral:lncRNA from 1 species